GCUUUCGUGGUGUAGUGGUCAGCACGCUCGACGCGUAACCGAGAGGUCCGUGGUUCGAGUCCCGGCGAAGACG
rnacentral:tRNA from 1 species